GAAACACCAGGAAGCAUGUCUGGAAAAGACUGGAUCUUGAUCCCCUCCCCUACUAUACUUCCUGUGCCCUUUCAACUGUCUCAGAAAUGUUCUUCUCACUGAUGGUAUCCUGUUCUGUGAUUGCUCUCAGACAGCAGUAAAGAGGGACCAAGAUUCAAGCUUUUGUUCUAAGAAGCUGGCUACCUCACAGCUAUGGUGAGCUGCUAUUUGUGUCGUCAUUGAAUCAGAGGACUAGGGGUGACUCCAGAAACUCAAGUCCAACUCCCACUACUUCUAGCUAAGGGGCAAGGGUGAAAAGGUGAGGGAAAUACUGCUCUACUCUUCACUUUAUGAGUCAGGAUUAAUUGAAAGAAUGAAAGAAGUGCUUCAAAGAGAAAGAAAGAAAAAAAAGUCUCAAGAGGCAGAGGAAAAUGCUAAAUUGGGUCAGCAGGUUGAAGGAAAAGGCAGGGAAGAAAGACCAAUGGACAUUUGGAGCAGGGAGGAUGCUUCUUCUUGGUAUCUUUAAAGAGGGAUGAAGAAAAGCCAAGUGCCUAACACCUGCUCACAGUGGGCAUCAUGACAUGCUUUCUCUUGAUACUCACUCCUGAUGAACAAGAAGGUCCUCAAUAUAAUCAACUGGCAAGCUUCUACAUCACAGACAGUGAGAAAAAUGAUGUGUGUCAAAGUGAGAGAGGAAAUGAAUUAAGUCUUUAUCUUCCCUUUGAGUCACUACGACUUUGUGAUAAACAGGUUUUGGUUAAGCAUUUUAAUUAACUGGUUUGUAGAAUAUGAAAAUUAUUUUGGCUGUAGAGAUUGUCAAUACUAAACAAAAAAAAAUAAAAUAUAAAUGCUGUCAUAGAAUAAUCAAGUUUUAGAGAUAAAAAUGACUUUGGAGAUGAGAGAGAUGAACUGACUUGUUCAAGGUCUAAUAAUUAAUAGAAAAUACUGGAUUAAACUCUGAAUCUCUUGACUUUUAAGUCAAUUGCUUCUUUCAUUUUACAUAAAUAAAUAUAUAUGUAUAAAAAUACAUAUAAUUUUGCAAAAGAUAAUAUUUUUAAAAAUCACCCAUACUUACCCAUCCUAUACAAUUCUCAUAAAUGUGUUCACAAAAGUUUGCUGUGGAAGUUUCACCAACAUUCUAGAGGCCUUACCUUCCUUUCUCUCAACAUCACACUCACAUACACACGCACAUAUGUGCAUGCAUUUAAAUAGACAUAUAUAUGUAUAAAUCCUGUAUUUUCCUAAGUGUGAGUAACUCCCAGUGAGGAAAUUUCCUUUUUCAACAUAUUCUUAGCAAUGGCUUUUCACUUUUUAGUGUUAACUGCUUGGCACUGGAAAGAUAACUGACUUGCCUUGAAUUACCCAGAUUCUAUGACAGAUAGUAUUUGAAUCCAGAACUUCAUUAUUCUGAGAACAUUUCUCUAUUGAUUAUACCACACUACCUUUCAUAAAUACACAUGCGCACACACACACAUUUUAGGCAAGCACUGCUGAAAAUAAAGGUCAAGGCCAAUAUCUGAGUAGGAGGAGUUCACAGGGAUUCAUUUUUGGGGAAAUAUAUACAAUUUACAAUGAUCUCAAACCAUUGGAGAAAGCUAAAGAAAUCUGAUUUGGACAGAUUGAGUGUAAUGUUUCUGGAUACCAGUUUGAAAUCUCCAGUAAGCAGUUAAUGAUCUAAGACUAAGGCUCAGGGGAAAGACUAGGGCUGGAUAUAUUUCUGCAAGUUAGUUAAAACCCAUGGAAUCUGAUGAGGUCACUAAGUCAGAGAAUGUAGAAGAGGGCCUCCUGGUUCACUUUAGCUUCCUGUCUCCCCUGAUCUCUUAGGAGACUGAUGAAAUCCCACUUUCUGGAGGAACUUUUACCCCUCACCACCACAAUCCUAACCAGUAAAUUCUCUCUGAGAUUGCCUUUUCAUUAUGUACAUAGUUAUUUACAAGUUAUCGCCCCAUUAAGAUGUAAAUUCCCUCUGAUUCAGGAACUGCAUUCUGUUUUUCUUGGUUAAGUUUGUGUUCAGCACAUAGUAAACACAGAAUAGUUGUAGAUGUACUAACCUGGCUGAAGAAUUCAUCCAUUUACAUGGUACACCUCAAGGUCCAGAAAAUGACAAUGGACUAAAAAGGCAUUUUGGAUCUAAGUAAAUUAUAACAAAGUAGCAACAACUUGCAAGUAAGUGGUACAAAAUCCUACAUCAAGGCACUUAUUAGCAGAAAAGGAAUAGGUUAAUUCAUGUAGCAAAGGAAACCAAAUGUCAGAGUGCCACCCUGAACAAGGGAAGCUUGGGAAGGCUGCCACAAGGUUCUGAGGAUAGUCUGUGAAGGAUUUACAGCCCCAAAUCCCACCUUCUGCAAGAGACUUUUUAUGAUAUCUCCAACUAAGAUUAUCCUCCAUUUUCAUUGUAUAUAAUUUAUAUAGUCAGAGUUGUUAGAACAUGAGUCCCUGGAAAACAGAGACUGUGGCUUUGGCCUACACUGUUGCAAAUAACUGCAACUUUGUAAGUGGAAAACAGAACAAUGAAACAAACCCCUAAAAUCAAAUGUGCUUGAACGGAAGGACCCAACUUGGACCAGGUGUAAGCUCUGGUCCUCUGAAGGAAAACAAAAUUAGUUCUGACUAAAUUUUCAAUAAUGUUAUUCCUUUCAUUCUCUUUUGAAUGUACAUGGGUUUUUACUCUCCUGAUCCAAAAAUAUAAUAAUAGCUAACAUUUAUAUAGCACUUU